GAUGAACGCUGGCGGCGUGCCUAAUACAUGCAAGUCGAGCGAACGGACGAGAAGCUUGCUUCUCUGAUGUUAGCGGCGGACGGGUGAGUAACACGUGGAUAACCUACCUAUAAGACUGGGAUAACUUCGGGAAACCGGAGCUAAUACCGGAUAAUAUUUUGAACCGCAUGGUUCAAAAGUGAAAGACGGUCUUGCUGUCACUUAUAGAUGGAUCCGCGCUGCAUUAGCUAGUUGGUAAGGUAACGGCUUACCAAGGCAACGAUGCAUAGCCGACCUGAGAGGGUGAUCGGCCACACUGGAACUGAGACACGGUCCAGACUCCUACGGGAGGCAGCAGUAGGGGAUCUUCCGCAAUGGGUGAAAGCCCGACGGAGCAACGCCGCGUGAGUGAUGAAGGUCUUCGGAUCGUAAAACUCUGUUAUUAGGGAAGAACAUAUGUGUAAGUAACUGCGCACAUCUUGACGGUACCUAAUCAGAAAGCCACGGCUAACUACGUG
rnacentral:rRNA from 1 species